UUUUUUAUGGAGAGUUUGAUCCUGGCUCAGGACGAACGCUGGCGGCGUGCUUAACACAUGCAAGUCGAACGGAAAGGCCUAGCUUGCUAGGUACUCGAGUGGCGAACGGG
rnacentral:rRNA from 2 species